GCAUAGACAACUAGGAUGUUGGCUCAGAAGCAGCCACCAUUUAAAGAGUGCGUAAUAGCUCACUAGUCGAGUGAUUCUGCGCCGAAAAUGUACCGGGGCUUAAACAUAUUACCGAGACUGUGGAUGCCACCAUUAGGUGGCGUGAUAGGAGAGCGUUCUAAGGGCAAUGAAGGCAGACCGUGAGGACUGUUGGAGCGCUUAGAAGUGAGAAUGCCGGUAUGAGUAGCGAAAGAUAGGUGAGAAUCCUAUCCACCG
rnacentral:rRNA from 1 species